rnacentral:rRNA from 1 species
UGGGGAAUAUUGGACAAUGGAGGAAACUCUGAUCCAGCAAUCCUGUGUGUGUGAAGAAGGUUUUAGGACUGUAAAACACUUUUAGUAGGGAAGAAAAAAAUGACGGUACCUACAGAAGAAGCAACGGCUAAAUACGUGCCAGCAGCCGCGGUAAUACGUAUGUUGCGAGCGUUAUCCGGAAUUAUUGGGCUUAAAGGGCAUCUAGGCGGUAAGACAAGUUGAAGGUGAAAACCUGUGGCUCAACCAUAGGCUUGCCUACAAAACUGUUGAACUAGAGUACUGGAAAGGUGGGUGGAACUACACGAGUAGAGGUGAAAUUCGUAGAUAUGUGUAGGAAUGCCGAUGAUGAAGAUAACUCACUGGACAGAAACUGACACUGAAGUGCGAAAGCUAGGGGAGCAAACAGG